rnacentral:rRNA from 1 species
UCAGAUUGAACGCUGGCGGCAUGCCUAACACAUGCAAGUCGAACGGAAACGAUGGGAGCUUGCUCCCAGGCGUCGAGUGGCGGACGGGUGAGUAACACAUAGGAAUCUGCCCAGUAGCGGGGGACAACUUGGGGAAACUCAAGCUAAUACCGCGUAGCGCUACGGGGGAAAGCGGGGGACCUUCGGGCCUCGCACUAUUGGAUGAGCCUAUGUCAGAUUAGCUUGUUGGUGGGGUAAUGGCCUACCAAGGCGACGAUCUGUAGCUGGUUGAGAGGACGAUCAGCCACACUGGGACUGAGACACGGCCCAGACUCUACGGGAGGCAGCAGUGGGGAAUAUUGCACAAUGGGCGAAAGCCUGAUGCAGCAAUGCCGCGUGUGUGAAGAAGGCUGCGGGUUGUAAAGCACUUUCAGUGGGGAGGAAACAGUUGCGGGUUAAUAUCCCGCGACCUUGACGUUACCCACAGAAGAAGCACCGGCUAACUCUGUGCCAGCAGCCGCGGUAAUACAGAGGGUGCAAGCGUUAAUCGGAAUUACUGGGCGUAAAGCGCGCGUAGGCGGCUUGGUCAGUCGGAUGUGAAAGCCCCGGGCUUAACUUGGGAAUUGCAUUCGAUACUGCCUGGCUAGAAUGUAGUAGAGGGAAGUGGAAUUCCGGGUGUAGCGGUGAAAUGUGUAGAUAUC